CAAAGGGCAAUGCGCUAAUUGGGGAGGUUGCUGCUGCAGGGGUGCAAUUCUUUCACAAAGAUAUGAUUGUCUCCAACACCAUAAAGACUAAAAGAUGUGACCGUGUUCCAUUGAUGUGGCACCAUCAGCAUCAACUCAUAUUUCUGUGUUAAAAAGGGACUUCAUUUUCAGG